GCCUACGCCAUAUACCAGCCUGGGUACGCCCGAUCUCGUCUGAUCUCGGAAGCUAAGCAGGGUCGGGCCUGGUUAGUACUUCAUGGGGAGACCGCCUGGGAAUACCAGGUGCUGUAAGCA
rnacentral:rRNA from 1 species